ACCUCUUGCACCGUGCGGAUAGCAGGAUUCUUGUAGUCCGACAACGCUGCAAUCCGCCAUCUUAAUAAAACCACACCCUUUUUUUACAUUGUGUCUUAUGGAAGUAUUUUUCUAAGUGCUUUUUCUCUUAGCUGGAUAAAAAUUUCGACCAAAGAAAAAUAUAGGAAAAUACUACAUCAUUCAGGGCAUAUGGGAAUUGUUUACAUUUGUAGGAACCAAACAUAUUGUCAUGUGUGUGUGUGUGUCAAUUUUACACUGAAACACGAUACGGAAAACAAGUUAAUGUUGCGAAUUGGAGAUUUUGAAUUGGAGAUUUUGUUGCAUCUGCCAUUGCUGUGUGAUUGUGAAGACAAAAAUGUUCCAUAUGUCAUGUGUUUGUCCGUUCAAACCAAGGAUAUUUUAUAAAAUUAUUAGUUUAGAUGUGCUAUAAUAAACUCAUUCUUUAUUUAGCACUUGGACGUGCUUGUGGAGUCUCCUGUUCUGUUAUUGCAGCUUGUUCUGUGACUGUACAUGAGGGAUCAUAACUGAAACCACAGAUUCAGUCUUUACAACAAGAAAUUGAAAAACUUCUCGUUUGAUCUCUCUUGAGGGACAAUGCUGUGAUUGAAAAUACAAUUGCCAUUUGGCUGUUCAUUGCCUAAAA